GGCCGCAACUGCAAUUUCAUGCAGCUCCCCCGCCUCCUGCCGCUGCUCCUUCUGUGCUUUUCGGUUGUGAUGUAACCACUGCUGCUGCUUGUUUUUAUUGUGCACGCUGUUGAUUUUGUGGACACUGUCAAUUACAAUUUUUGCAUAUUAUUUAUGAGAUUUCCAAUUGGAUGGCAACACAACACUGCACAUAGACACACCCGAUCUGGCCACACCUAGUUUUUGCCAAAAAGCUAUUAGUGAUGCGCGACCACACUUAGAAUGCAUUUUCACAAGUUUUAAUUACAAUUAAUAUUCGUGUAUUGAAAAGCAAAGGGUCAAAUAUGCAGACAGUAGCUGCCCGGCAGAAGCCAACUUCUUGAUUUUAAUGUUAAUCUUUUUCGGCCAGAUGACGUCCGAUCCUGACAAGACUCGCCUUUUUGGACUCGUGAACGUCCGUAGAAUUGAAUUCUGCACUGCAAAAAGAAAAAUAUAUAUUUUUAUAUUAAAAAAAGUACAAUUAGAAAACAACUUUAAAUGCCCAUAUCUCGGCCAAAUAAGGCCCGAUCCCACGUAAUGUAACCUCGUGCCACUUUGAUCAAUUUAACUAUAUUCUAAGAAAAAUAAUUUGUCAUUACGUUAUCUGCAUUUCACAGAGUCGAUAACUAUUCCAGUUUAUAAAGAAAUAUCAUUCCAAGAUCGGACAAUAAUUAAACCGAGAUAUAGCCUCGGACAAAAUGUCUGAACUACAUAUUCCUGGCCGAGCAAAAAAUAAAAACCGGUUCCCAGAUGACCCAUAUAUAUCCUUGGUUAUACCAUACCAUUGAUGUAGUCCUGGUGAACCUAAAAGACCAACAAAUCCUGGCGAAAUUCGCUCGGAAAUGAUCCACAAAUAUGUAUGCUUCUUCUUUCAGCCACCCGUCCUCCCUUUAUGAUUCCUAGAUGACCCAUAGAUAUCCUUGGAUUUACCAUACCAUUAAUAGAGUCCUGGGGAACCUAUAGUUCAAAAUCCCAGUAAAAUUCGCUUAAAAGCUUUAUUCACAUUUAAAUUAAGGUUUAAAAAUAAACGGUUGCAAAAUACCAUUAUA